rnacentral:lncRNA from 1 species
GUUAUAUUACUUUAAUUGAUUUUAAUCAUAUUUAUUCUUAUAUUACUUUUAAGAUAUGGUCAAACUAUGUGUUAUUAAACAAAAUACUAUAAAAAUGAAGGCACAUCGGUACCUAUUUUUUUCCGUUCAGUUCGGUACGACAACGAUACAAUAGGGUGUCAGUUUAUGGAAAGCAUUAACAGUAAAAUUAAAUAUUGGUACCAAUUGAUACAUAUGUUGUUUAAUCGGUUUCAAUUCGGUUUGGUACGACAACGAUACAACGUCCGUUUAAAAAAAAUAUUGCAAUGUUGAAAUAUAAUAAACAAAGAAUGCAAACAAACAUAACCAGUAUCCAGUGAACAAGAUCAUUACUGGUAUUGAUAUUCGUUUUUAUUUUUUUCGACUGACGUUAUGUUUACUUUUAGAAUGAUACUGCCGGUACCGUAACGAACUGAACUAAUACCAACUGAUUCCCGCUGCGAAGCACGGGGGAAUCUCACUAGUUAACAUUAUUUUUAAAAUAACUAGUUGAUUUUCCUCCCGCGUGUUGCGGCGGGGACCCAAUGACUGUAAAACGCGUGUAAUUGAGUUCAUAUGUCAUAAAACAUAAAUAUCAACAGAGAUCAACUGAUGUAAGACUCGACAAGCCCAU